CCCAGCACCGAGUAAUGUAGAGAAUGCUCCCAAUCCCGUUCGAUCUCGGAAGAAAAGCUACGUCCGGUCCGGUUAGUACUUGGAUGUGUGGCCGCUUGGGAACAUCGGCUGUUGCAGGCA
rnacentral:rRNA from 1 species